AACGAACGCUGGCGGCAUGCCUAACACAUGCAAGUCGAACGAGAUCUUCGGGUCUAGUGGCGCACGGGUGCGUAACGCGUGGGAAUCUGCGCUUUGGUUCGGAAUAACAGUUGGAAAAGACUGCUAAUACCGGAUGAUGACGAAAGUCCAAAGUUUUAUCGCCAGAGGAUGAGCCCGCGUAGGAUUAGCUAGUUGGUGUGGUAAAGGCGCACCAAGGCGACGAUCCUUAGCUGGUCUGAGAGGAUGAACAGCCACACUGGGACUCAGACACGGCCCAGACUCCUACGGGAGCAACGAGUGGGGAAUAUUGGACAAUGGGCGAAAGCCUGCUCCAGCAAUGCCUCGUGAGGUAUGAAGGCCUUAGGGUUGUAACGCUCUUUUACCCGGGAUGAUAAUGACAGUACCGGGAGCAUAAGCUCCGGCUAACUCCGUGCCAGCCGCCGCCGUAA
rnacentral:rRNA from 1 species